rnacentral:rRNA from 1 species
AUUGAACGCUGGCGGCAGGCCUAACACAUGCAAGUCGAACGAGUGGCGGACGGGUGAGUCAUGUCUGGGAAACUGCCUGAUGGAGGGGGAUAACUACUGGAAACGGUAGCUAAUACCGCAUACCAUCGGAUGUUCCCAGAUGGGAUUAGCUAGGAGGUGAGGUAAAGGCUCACCUCGGCGACGAUCCCUAGCUGGUCUGCGAGGAUGACCAGGCAAACGGGAACUGAGACACGGUCCAGACUCCUACGGGAGGCAGCAGGGGGGAAGAUGGCACAAUGGGCGCAAGCCUGAUGCAGCCAUGCCGCGGGUAUGAAGAAGGCCUUUGGGUUGUAAAGUACUUUCAGCGGGGAGGCGUUACCAGCAGAAGAAGCACCGGCUAACUCCGUGCCAGCCGCCGCGGUAAUAC